UACGUAUGGUGCAAGUGUUAUCCGGAUUUACUGGGUGUAAAGGGUGCGUAGGUGGCAAGGCAAGUCUGAAGUGAAAAUCCGGGGCUCAACCCCGGAACUGCUUUGGAAACUGUUUAGCUAGAGUACAGGAGAGGUAAGUGGAAUUCCUAGUGUAGCGGUGAAAUGCGUAGAUAUUAGGAGGAACACCAGUGGCGAAGGCGACUUACUGGACUGCUACUGACACUGAGGCACGAAAGCGUGGGGAGCAAACAGG
rnacentral:rRNA from 1 species